UACGUAGGGUGCGAGCGUUAAUCGGAAUUACUGGGCGUAAAGUGUGCGCAGGUGGCCGCGCAAGUCGAGUGUGAAAUCCCCGAGCUUAACUUGGGAAUUGCGCUCGAAACUACGUGGCUCGAGUGUGGCAGAGGAAGGUGGAAUUCCACGUGUAGCGGUGAAAUGCGUAGAGAUGUGGCGGAACACCGAUGGCGAAGGCAGCCUUCUGGGCCAACACUGACGCUCAUGCACGAAAGCGUGGGGAGCAAACAGG
rnacentral:rRNA from 1 species